CCUGAGACUGACCACAGGUGUUCACGCUCAUACCGGCGCUCGUUUGUCGCCGCAGGUCAAACCGAUAACGGAGGAAAUACCCACGGUUCACCGCACCGGUCAGUUCGGUGACGGUUCGCGAGCUGGAGGACGGAACAUGACCGAACCUGUGAGGGGCCUGUUCACCGGACCUGGACCCGCCGUGAUCCCGGGCUCCGAGCCUCGUGGAGUCAAAGGAGCUGCGUCGCAGAGAGAGAGAUUACAGCUCUGAAGACGUGACCUCGGGCAGACAGAGCUGCACUACCGAGGAGCCUCUUCUUCUGUGGAGCUUUCCUGGGCUUUACUGCUACCUGUGGAACCCGACCAAUGAGAGGAGAGCUGGGGAGAUCUCCCCCUCCUGCAGCUCGUGGUCUCACCUGAAGAUGGCAGCGUUAAAGCAGAAACACCGUAGUACGUGAACGCCCCAUUUUCAAACUUCAGCCCCUCUUUCCCGAUCUCCACCUCCACGCGGCCCUGAGAACAAACAGGCAGCUUCAGACUUCAGUGUCACUUGGAUGUGUGUGUUUUUUAGAGUGUGUUGUGUAGUUAUUUACACACAGUUUCUAAGAACAACAGGUUUGUAAUAAAGAUAAAUACAGUGACGCUGCACACGACAGUCACCAGUCCUGUGGUAUUUAAUAAAUGGUUUGAAACACAUUUUAGUUGUAAGCAGAUCUAAGUAAAACACAGCUGUAAUAAUAUAAAAUCUAUUUUCAUAGGAGAAGUUGGAACUGUUGACAAAUACCGUGCAUUCAUAAACAGUCUAUAGUGAGGCACAACAAAGGUUUAUAACUACAUUAUAAGAUGUUAUAAACCAUUUGUUAAAUGACUGUCUUUCGUGUUAGCGUCGUGUGUGUGUUCUUACUGAUGUUACGUGGAUUGUUUUCUUAUCAUUACUGUUAUUUAUGUAUUUAUUUUUGUUUAAAUGUCUUUAAGAUAGACUUUAUGUUCCCUUUUU